CCAGACUCCUACGGGAGGCAGCAGUCGGGAAUAUUGCGCAAUGGAGGAAACUCUGACGCAGUGACGCCGCGUGCAGGAAGAAGGUUUUCGGAUUGUAAACUGCUUUAGAUAGGGAAGAAAAAAAUGACAGUACCUAUAGAAUAAGCUCCGGCUAACUAUGUGCCAGCAGCCGCGGUAAUACAUAGGGAGCAAGCGUUAUCCGGAUUUAUUGGGUGUAAAGGGUGCGUAGACGGGAAAUUAAGUUAGUUGUGAAAUCCCUCGGCUUAACUGAGGAACUGCAACUAAAACUGAUUUUCUUGAGUACUGGAGAGGAAAGUGGAAUUCCUAGUGUAGCGGUGAAAUGCGUAGAUAUUAGGAGGAACACCAGUGGCGAAGGCGACUUUCUGGACAGUAACUGACGUUGAGGCACGAAAGUGUGGGGAGCAAACAGGAUUAGAUCCCCCUGUA
rnacentral:rRNA from 1 species